GGACAGAGGGGAUCGAAAGACGUGUCAAUGGCAUCUAGGCUCUACGUCCACGCGCACCAAUCAAAGCAGUCUGGCAACUGGGCAGCACUGAUAAGAAGAAGAGAAGAGGCGCAAAAUGAGCUUGUGGUUGUGCUCUCGAAUCAUGCUGGCGCUCGGCCUUCUCUGGCCGGCGUACGCCUCGUUCAAGACCAUCGACGAGAGGAAUAACGGCCACAAGGCGGUCUUCCUGCUGAAGCACUGGGUCAGCAGUGGCACCUACCUGCUCCUGGACUGCACGAUCGAGAUCUUGUUCGGCGCCCACUUCACGGUCUUCGUCAGCGGACUAAGGCUGGCCGCCUUCGCCUGGGUAUUGGUACGCGCUGCCGUUCGAACAGACCACCCCGAUAAUCUCUACGAAGGGGUACCGGUGGAUACCUACGCGUAGGUACAAGCGCCGGAAGACUUUUAUGAAAGUUUCGUUCGACCUCGAAUGAAACUGUUGGAGCCGACUGCCGACAAGUUACUGGGGGAAUUGGAGAAUAUCACGAUUUUCAUGUAAAGCAAAUAUCGAAGCAUUCAACAACAAAUACAUGUCGUUAUUUUUCGCUAUCA